GUGCCAGCCGCCGCGGUAAUACCGGCAGCUCAAGUGAUGUCCCAUAUUAUUGGGCCUAAAGCGUCCGUAGCUGGCCGACCAAGUCUCCCGGGAAAUCCACCCGCCCAACGGGUGGGCGUCCGGUAGAAACUGGCCGGCUUGGAACCGGAAGACCCAACGGGUACGUCCAGGGUAGGAGUGAAAUCCUGUAAUCCUGGACGGACCGCCGAUGGCGAAAGCACGUCGGGAAGACGGAUCCGACGGUGAGGGACGAAAGCCAGGGUCUCCAACCGGAUUAGAUACCGGGUAGUCC
rnacentral:rRNA from 1 species